GACGAACGCUGGCGGCGUGCUUAACACAUGCAAGUCGAACGGAAAGGCCCUGCUUUUGUGGGGUGCUCGAGUGGCGAACGGGUGAGUAACACGUGAGUAACCUGCCCUUGACUUUGGGAUACCUCAGGGAACUGGGGCUAAUACCGGAUAGGAGCUCCUGCUGCCUGGUGGGGGUUGGAAAGUUUCGGCGGUUGGGGAUGGACUCGCGGCUUAUCAGCUUGUUGGUGGGGUAGUGGCUUACCAAGGCUUUGACGGGUAGCCGGCCUGAGAGGGUGACCGGCCACAUUGGGACUGAGAUACGGCCCAGACUCCUACGGGAGGCAGCAGUGGGGAAUAUUGCACAAUGGGCGGAAGCCUGAUGCAGCAACGCCGCGUGCGGGAUGACGGCCUUCGGGUUGUAAACCGCUUUCGCCUGUGACGAAGCGUGAGUGACGGUAAUGGGUAAAGAAGCACCGGCUAACUACGUG
rnacentral:rRNA from 1 species